ACGGGUGAGUAACGCGUGGGAACGUGCCCUUCGGUUCGGAAUAACUCAGGGAAACUUGAGCUAAUACCGGAUACGCCCUUUUGGGGAAAGGCUUGACUGCCGAAGGAUCGGCCCGCGUCUGAUUAGCUAGUUGGUGAGGUUAUGGCUCACCAAGGCGACGAUCAGUAGCUGGUCUGAGAGGAUGAUCAGCCACACUGGGACUGAGACACGGCCCAGACUCCUACGGGAGGCAGCAGUGGGGAAUAUUGGACAAUGGGGGCAACCCUGAUCCAGCCAUGCCGCGUGAGUGAUGACGGCCUUAGGGUUGUAAAGCUCUUUUCUCCGGGACGAUAAUGACGGUACCGGAGGAAUAAGCCCCGGCUAACUUCGUGCCAGCAGCCGCGGUAAUACGAAGGGGGCUAGCGUUGCUCGGAAUCACUGGGCGUAAAGGGCGCGUAGGCGGCUGAUUUAGUCGAGGGUGAAAGCCCGUGGCUCAACCACGGAAUGGCCUUCGAUACUGAUUGGCUUGAGACCGGAAGAGGACAGCGGAACUGCGAGUGUAGAGGUGAAAUUCGUAGA
rnacentral:rRNA from 1 species